UACGUAGGGUGCGAGCGUUGUCCGGAAUUACUGGGCGUAAAGAGCUCGUAGGUGGUUUGUCGCGUUGUUCGUGAAAACCGGAGGCUUAACCUUCGGCGUGCGGGCGAUACGGGCAGACUGGAGUACUGCAGGGGAGACUGGAAUUCCUGGUGUAGCGGUGAAAUGCGUAGAUAUCAGGAGGAACACCGGUGGCGAAGGCGGCUAUCUGGACAGAGUCUGACGCUGAGGCGCGAAAGCUAGGGGAGCAAACAGG
rnacentral:rRNA from 1 species